rnacentral:rRNA from 1 species
UACAGAGGUCUCAAGCGUUGUUCGGAUUCAUUGGGCGUAAAGGGUGCGUAGGCGGCGCGGUAAGUCGGGUGUGAAAUCUCGGAGCUUAACUCCGAAACUGCAUUCGAUACUGCCGUGCUCGAGGACUGGAGAGGAGAGUGGAAUUCCCGGUGUAGCGGUGAAAUGCGCAGAUAUCGGGAAGAACACCCGUGGCGAAGGCGGCUCUCUGGGGACGGUACUGACGCUGAGACGCGAAAGCGUGGGGAGCGAACAGG